ACUUAGUGGCAGACGGGUGAGUAACAUGUGGGUAUCUACCCUUUGGCCUGGAAUAACACGAGGAAACUUGUGCUAAUACCGGAUAAGUCUUUACGGAGAAAGCUUUAUGCACCAUUGGAUGAGCCCGCACUUGAUUAGUUUGUUGGUAGGGUAAUGGCCUACCAAGACUAUGAUCAAUAGCUGAUUUGAGAGGAUGAUCAGCCACAUUGGGACUGAGACACGGCCCAAACUCCUACGGGAGGCAGCAGUGGGGAAUCUUGCACAAUGGAGGAAACUCUGAUGCAGCGAUGCCGCGUGAGUGAAGAAGGCCUUUGGGUUGUAAAGCUCUUUCGUCGGGGAAGAAAAUGACUGUACCCGAAUAAGAAGGUCCGGCUAACUUCGUGCCAGCAGCCGCGGUAAUACGAAGGGACCUAGCGUAGUUCGGAAUUACUGGGCUUAAAGAGUUCGU
rnacentral:rRNA from 1 species